GCCAGCCCGCUCAGAACUCAAAUGAAUUGACGGGGGCCCGCACAAGCGGAGGAGCAUGUGGUUUAAUUCGAUGAUACGCGAGGAACCCUUACCUGGGCUCGAACGUAAGAUGACUGUAGGUGAAAGCUUACAUCUCUUCGGAGCAUUUUACGAGGUGCUGCAUGGUUGUCGUCAGCUCGUGCCGUGAGGUGUCGGGUUAAGUCCCAUAACGAGCGCAACCCCUACCUUUAGUUGCCAUCAGGUUAAGCUGGGGACUCUAAAGGAACUGCCUACGCAAGUAGUGAGGAAGGCGGGGAUGACGUCAAAUCAGCACGGCCCUUACGUCCAGGGCUACACACGUGCUACAAUGGCCGGCACAGACGGCAGCUUAGUGGCGACACUUGGCAAAUCCUCUAAAGCCGGUCCCAGUUCGGAUUGUAGUCUGCAACUCGACUACAUGAAGCCGGAAUCGCUAGUAAUCGCAGAUCAGCCAAGCUGCGGUGAAUACGUUCCCGGGCCUU
rnacentral:rRNA from 1 species